GGUCGGGUCCCGAUGACGGUGGACCCAUGAACCCCGCCAGGUCCGGAAGGAAGCAACGGUAGUGGUCGCCAACGGGCAUCGGAUCGCCCGGCCACC
rnacentral:SRP_RNA from 1 species